rnacentral:misc_RNA from 1 species
CGAAGUAAAAGUCGUAACAAGGGCUCCGUAGGUGAACCUGCGGAGGGAUCAUUACAGAGUUCAUGCCCUACCGGGUAGAUCUCCCACCCUAUGUUAUUAUUACUUUGUUGCUUUGGCGGGCCGUUAGGCUCCGGCCCGACUACCGGCCCCGGCUGGUAAGCGCCCGCCAGAGGACCCAAAACCCUGAAUAUUAGUGUCGUCUGAGUACUAUAUAAUAGUUAAAACUUUCAACAACGGAUCUCUUGGUUCUG